AUCUACGUAUAUUGAGAAGGAAAAAAAAACAGAAAUGACACCUUUGAAGUCUUAAUACACGUCUUUAUCACUUUCUGUAAUGGUUGCAGAUUCAUUGCCAUCGUUUUAUUUCUUAUUCUCUAUUCCUUAACGCUAUAUAAUCUCUUCCGCCCCUUUAGAACAACCACCAACUUCUUUUCAUCUCCUCUCUUUUUGGAGGACUAGAAAUCAGGCUUUUUCUCGUCAUAUUAGAUGUACCCACAUGUCGACAGGUAAAUGUAUGGAGGAAACAUGAAGUUCACACGCAAGAAUUCGGGAUUUUCUACAAAUCAUGAGAGUUGAGAGUGUCGUUAUUCUCAAGUGACUAAGGCAUGAUUAUGUAUACCAAGAUUAUGGUUUCUGAUGGUAGUGGAAGGGACGAAGCAAAAUCUAAGGAAGUUCUUAAAAAUUUUACGAAGGAACUGGAGUGGAUUACUCUUGCAACAACUUCAUUCUACCUACUUACUAUGGUUGGGUUUUUUCUAUGUCAAAGACUAUAGAGUGCAGAAGAAGAACGACACCAAGAAAUGAACAGAGUUUUGAUAUUCUUUCUUCGUUUUUUGAACAAGCUAAGAUGCUUUGAGAUGGAAAAUUCCUCUAGUCAGUGAUAUUGUGCUGACGUGACUCAUCCAGAAUAGUCAAUCAAUUGCUGUUGCAACCAACAAAAUUUAUCUGUUGUAUGUAAGAGUUGGAACUUCUUCAUGUGUUUGAAUUUGGAUAAUGAGAUUUUCUUGAUUCAAGGUGUAGCAUCACAAGAUUGGCCAGAAAUUACUAAAUAUGCAGGCUUGUGCAUCGCUUGAACCAGGCUAUAUACCUACACUGACCUUCGUAGGCGCCCAAAAAUGUCACCAUAUAUGCUUUUUUGCGAACAACCACAAUGACGGAAAUCAGGUAGACUGUACUGUAAAUAUUCUACAUGGUACACUGACCUUCAUAGGGCGCCCAAAAACGUCACCAUAUAUGCUUUUUUGCGAACAACCACAAUGACAGAAAUCAGACAGACUGUACUGUAAACAUUGUACAUGGUACACUGACCUUCAUAGGCGCCCAAAAACAUCAUUGUAUACGCUUUUUUGCGAACAACCACAAUGACAGAAAUCGGACCGAGCUGUAAACAUUCUACAUGCUAACAUUUUUGCUCUUCUUACCCUGAUUGUGCUUAAACUUAUUGACAAUGUUUACAUUGAUGAAAAAAGAGUGCUGGCCAGUUAUCCUUUAUGCUUAACUAUGUGUUAUUUUCUCUAACAGCUUGAUUAUUACUUAUGCACUAAGUUGCUUGGAAUCAAGUGCGGGUGUGCGAUACGGGUGCAGAUCUACAGGUUGGAUCCUUCAUGAUUUAAAUUUUAAGAUUCGGGGUUAGGAAUCCAGGUAAGGAUAUUGGUGGAGGAAUUCGGCUAAAAAUAAUUGAAAUAUCUAAACUUAGAGUAAUAAAAAUAUGUUCAAGUUAUGACACAUUAUGUGGAAAACUUACAAGGCAUUCCAAGAGAAGAAUCCCGAAAGGAGAUAUAAGGAAAAAGACUGAUAUAGAAAUUUUUAUAUACAAGGGGAGACGGAGAGGAACUUACAAGUCGGCAAAAAAAAGCUUUGAGUGUAGCCAUGGAUUCUUUUAUAAGACUUCAAGAAAUUUCGCAAGAAAUCUCUCAAGUCGAAGAGGAGAAGCUCCAAUCGGAGCAAAGGCUGGGUCUGUUCUGGGAGCAUUGUAUUCCUCUUUUUUUCAAUUUCACCGUAGCUUUUGUUUUGAUUUCAGAAAUCAUCGUAUUUAUCCCGAAUUUCUCCGUCGAUUUUGGUCAAAGUACCCAAAAUCGAUUGAUCAAAUCCGGUAUGGAUCCCACGCCCGCACCCACACCCAUGUCGUGUCGACACAGGUGCAGCACCAAAAGUGAAGAGUCUGCGCAACUUAGCUUAUGCAAGAAUUCAGGUGAAAUGCUAAUCGUUUGUUUUAGUAUGUUAAUUAUAAAUUUUGGAUUUCUUAAAGUAUUUAUGGCGUUACAAGUCUUUAUUUGGAAGAAAGCUAACUUGCGCCGACUCUUCACUUUUGGUGCCGCCCCCGUACCGACACGACAUGGGUGUGGGAUCUGAACCGGAUUUGGUCAACCGUUUCAGGGUAGUUUGAGCAAAAUCGAUGGAGAAAUUCGGGAUAAAUACAAUGGUUUCUGAAAUCAAAUCAAAAGCUACGGUGAAAUUGAAAAAAGAGGAUUACCUUGUAUGUAGUUUCAUAAAAAAAAAAUUACCUUGUAUAUAAAAAUUUCUAUGUGAGUCCUUUUCCUUUUAUCUCCUUUUUGGAUUCUCCUCUUGAUUAAUAUUUUUGUCCUUCUUGGAAUACCUUGUAGUAAUUUUUCCACAUAAUGUCUCAUAACUUGAACUUAUUUUUAUUACUCUAAUUUUAAAUAUUUGAAUUAUUUUUAGCAAAAUCCCGGCACUUGUGGACCUGUAGAUCUGCACCCGUAUUGGACAACCGCACCCGAGUCCGAGCAACUUAGGAAGAAAGCUCCACAUGAUUUAGAUGUUGUUGCUCCCUGCCAGUGAGUUAACAGUGUUGGAUUUUUCAGGAACUAGCCGUCCUGCACAUUCUUCUUUGUUUCUGGCAGAAUUUCUUAGUGAUGGUUUAAUUGCAGGUCUGCUCGUUGCAACCGAUCUGUGUUAGUAGAGCAGCAGAGGAGAGAUAUUGUUGAGUACUUCAGAAAGCAGCUCUCUGGUUCUGCCUUCACUGAUAGCGGAUGGUUUCAACGUUAUGACCUCGAUGUGUAAAGCCACCUAUCCUCUAUGGUGAUGUGAGCCGUCCGAAACUAAUGACUGUCUGGUCCUCAACAGCUCAAAGAUGCUCCUUACCUGUUUCAACUGGUCUUUUGAUAGAAUGAGCAGCCAACGCAACUUUUGUACGCCCUCUCCAGUAUUAGAAUUUUAUACCUUCUCCAAUAAUGUGCAAUGAAUUCAAUGCUUAUAGAAUCAUCUCUGUGAAAAGUAAAAUGAAAAAUAUAACUGCUCUACAUGUCCUUAUUACCUUCUCAUUUUAGAUUGUAUGCUUGCAAAGCCCUAAUAUGAGUGUUAUUUCCAGAAAAUACAGUUCAUCUUUGUCAGGCUAUUGCUUAUGGUGCCUUGUUCUAUCAAAGGAUCUUCAUAAAGCAUUUUAUCCUCAAUUCUCGGGUUAAAACCUUGACAACUUGAAGACCAUAACAAUUGCUUUCAAUUUGCUUGAAGGUAAGAAAAAUAUGGAGAAGAAAGAUACUCCCUCCGGUCCACAAUAAGUGAUCAUUUCACCCUUUUAUUUUGGUCCAAAAUAAGUGUCCGUUUACAUAAUCAAGAAGGAAUUAAUUUUUUUUUUCUAAAAUUUUCCCCUUACAUAUUCCAAAGUACAACACUAUUGUCCAGUGGUAUUGGCAUGUAACCACGCUCAUUCUGGAGAUGGUGUCGUACUAUUUGGAUUUAGUUUGGAAUGCAGGCUCAUAUCAGUUAUAUGUUUCGUAACUUCAGUAAUAUAACUGGAUUGGAUUGCAUUGUAGUAUGCAUGUCCUACAAACAGGAGAUUCAUCUGCUGAGGAGAAAAGGUACAGGCUGCAAUUGUUGGUUCAAUAAUUCUUGGUUGAAGAACACAAGCUACGCAGGUUUUCUGGAUUCACUUGGCCUACGGAUUCACAUGCACCAGAUUAUGUUGUUAUUGCACUUGCACUACUCUUCUAUGGAAGCUAACAUUCUUCUUUCAUGUAAUAGCUAGAUUAUUAAUGUUGUUUACAUCUUAUAUUGUAAUAGCUAAUGGUUGUAAGGCCUGGACCCAUUUUUGGGAUUUUAUAUAUA